rnacentral:tRNA from 1 species
GCCCCCGUAGCGCAAUGGUAGCGCGUAAGACUGUAUAUCUUAAGGUUGCGAGUUCGAGCCUCGCCGGGGGCU